rnacentral:ncRNA from 1 species
UGGUGCCUGCGCCGUGAUGGGGCGCAGGGUAAAAGGGAAACAGGUGAAAGUCCUGUGCGAUCUCGUCACUGUAAGUCCGGAGUGCAUAAUCAGGCUGCGUGCGGUCACUGAUGAAAGUCGGGAAGGCGAUUAUGUGCGAUGAUGGAUAAGUCAGGAAACCUGCCAGCUGUG